UACGGAGAGUGCAAGCGUUGUUCGGAAUUACUGGGCGUAAAGCGCGUGUAGGCGGCUAGAUAAGUCAGACGUGUAAGCCCAUGGCUUAACCAUGGAACUGCGUUUGAAACUAUUUAGCUUGAGUGCAGGAGAGGAAAGCGGAAUUCCCAGUGUAGCGGUGAAAUGCAUUGAUAUUGGGAAGAACACCGGUGGCGAAGGCGGCUUUCUGGCCUGCUACUGACGCUGAGAUACGAAAGCCAGGGGAGCAAAGGGG
rnacentral:rRNA from 1 species